GCCGUGGACGCAGUCGUGGGAGGCUUGCUGUGCCGCGUAUGUUUUCUUCUCUAGGGGGGACGGCGUUCACGUGGUACGUUUGGCUGCAGUGCGAGGGGAGGACUAGACGAUAAAAGCACCAGUAGAGCUCAGGUCUGAGUUGAAACCACCCUCAAGGCUCACCUCUCCUCACUGAUUGAAGAUUUCUCUGUGACCAGACAGCACUGUGGGAGUAAGUGGAGGAGCACCCUGGUUCUCCCA